UACAGAGGGGGCGAGCGUUGUUCGGAAUUACUGGGCGUAAAGGGCGCGUAGGCGGCCAACUAAGUCAGACGUGAAAUCCCUCGGCUCAACCGGGGAACUGCGUCUGAUACUGGAUGGCUUGAAUUCGGGAGAGGGAUGCGGAAUUCCAGGUGUAGCGGUGAAAUGCGUAGAUAUCUGGAGGAACACCGGUGGCGAAGGCGGCAUCCUGGACCGGUAUUGACGCUGAGGCGCGAAAGCUAGGGGAGCAAACGGG
rnacentral:rRNA from 1 species